rnacentral:rRNA from 1 species
UACGUAGGUGGCAAGCGUUGUCCGGAUUUACUGGGCGUAAAGAGCGCGCAGGCGGUCGUUCAAUAGCGAGUGUGAAAGCCCCCGGCUCAACUGGGGAGGGUCAUGAUCAUCUGUCACUCGAAGGCAGGAGAGGGAAGUGGAAUUCCGGGUGUAGUGGUGAAAUGCGUAGAUAUCCGGAGGAACACCAGUGGCGAAGGCGAACUUUCUGGCCUGUUCUUGACGCUGAGGCGCGAAAGCUAGGGGAGCAAACGGGG